AGUUUGAUCUUGGCUCAGGACGAACGCUGGCGGCGUGCCUAAUACAUGCAAGUCGAGCGAAUCGACGGGAGCUUGCUCCCUGAGAUUAGCGGCGGACGGGUGAGUAACACGUGGGCAACCUGCCUAUAAGACUGGGAUAACUUCGGGAAACCGGAGCUAAUACCGGAUACGUUCUUUUCUCGCAUGAGAGAAGAUGGAAAGACGGUUUACGCUGUCACUUAUAGAUGGGCCCGCGGCGCAUUAGCUAGUUGGUGAGGUAAUGGCUCACCAAGGCGACGAUGCGUAGCCGACCUGAGAGGGUGAUCGGCCACACUGGGACUGAGACACGGCCCAGACUCCUACGGGAGGCAGCAGUAGGGAAUCUUCCGCAAUGGACGAAAGUCUGACGGAGCAACGCCGCGUGAACGAAGAAGGCCUUCGGGUCGUAAAGUUCUGUUGUUAGGGAAGAACAAGUACCAGAGUAACUGCUGGUACCUUGACGGUACCUAACCAGAAAGCCACGGCUAACUACGUGCCAGCAGCCGCGGUA
rnacentral:rRNA from 2 species